GUUUGUGUAACUUCUUUAUUGCAUAUUAAAUUUUUCUUUGCAUAGUAGAUUCUGCUAUUUUGUUCUUUACUUACACUUCCUAUUCUUUUGUUAUUUUCUUAGACUACUACUUCAAGAUAGAUAUUGCUUACCUGAAUUCUGCAGUUUGGAAGUUUUUUGACCAAAACAAGCCUUUAUUAUGGGCAGGAUCUGCUGGACUGUCUCCAAACAAAGGAGAGAAAAGCAACAUGGCACAACAGGGAGCUUCUUUUAUAGGAGCAGGGUGGGGUUAGCCUGAGCUGGGGUUGAGUGAGGUAGUAUGAAGGAAUUGGAGGAGCCUAUGACAUUACUUGGAGGGGCUUGUGACAUCAUUAGUUGCUAGGAGGUAGCAUAUAUCAGGUUACCUUUCUUGGCGGGAAGAGGUGCAUGUUGGGCAGAAGACUGUCCUUUGGUGGGAGGAGAUGGGAAGGAGGCUGCUAUUCCAUGUGGCAGCCUUCUUAAGGCACAGAGCAUUAUGGGAAGGAGGAGGCUGUUAUUUUAUGUAGCAGCAAUCUUAAGGCAAGGGGAAUCUAACAUUCCAGGUUUUUGUUUUAUGGUUGUUGGGUGAAGGUCUCUUCUGAAGCUGCUUCAAGCUGACAAAGGGGCGGAGGUUGGGGUUAAACCUGGAUCUGAUGGGGGCAGCGGUAGGUAGGGUCUUCUUCCUUCUGCUGAGUGGCCGGUACCCUGCCCUGAUGCAGAAGGAAGACAACAACCCACUGAAAGGUAAAUUAAUUUUUUGUACAAAUAAGCAAACUUCAAUACCAAAGCUAGAUUAAACUCACACACCCAUUUUAUAAUGAUUUUAGCAAUUAAAUCCAAACAGAAACAUAUACAAGACAAGAAUAAAAUGGCAUUUUAUCAAGAGGGGCCUCACAGGCAGAAUGACCUUUUAUAAAGUGGUCUGCCAGAUCAAAAGUAGUCACUUUGGAGUCUGGGCUGAGGUGGUGGGGGGGUGGAACAGGAGGGGAGGAGGACGGAGUUAGGGCUAGAAGUACCUGAGAGGGUGAACAGGUUUGACAGAAGGAGGGGUGAGAGCCAAGGUAGAAGGCUUAUAGGUAGGGAUUUCUGACUAUUUGCCAUUGCGUUGACAAAAAUUGUAUAAAUCAUGCAGUAUGUUAAAAUUGAGUGUCAUUUUCUGACCAUUGAGAUUUAUUGUCUAGUUUGUACUGAGGCCAAACUUGGUUGUAAAAAAAAAGAAAAGUGAGUCAUUUUGGCUUAAAAUCAGGUCCCAAUAGUCCAAGGGGGCGAUGUUGUGCCAGGAGGCAGCCAAGAGGCAUUGAGGGUUGGGGUUUGGAUUGUUGGGUUCCCAUGUUAGGGUGGGUGAGGAGGAGUUAGCUCCCUAGGAGGAGGACAAAAGAGAGGAUGUCUUCGUCUUGUGAUACUCCUGGAGCCAGUCCCCAGAAGGGAAGGAGAGAAGUCAGGCUGAUGGGGCGACCCCAGGGCACGGACAUGGGCCCAGUGGCCCAAAAGGGUCUCUCCGACUGAGUACUUGGAUUUCCGAGGAGUCCCCAGAAGGAUAGACUGAGAACAAGUUAGAGGACCCAACUGAGCAGAGGGAAGCUAACUACCUACUCACCCUGAAAUCAGUGACCGGUGUGGAUGUGAGUCAUCACCAAUGGCAAAGGUAGAAAGCCCCGCGGAGGUCCUGGCUCCGCAGAUGUGGUGCGGAGGAGGCGGCCGAAAGGCCAGUCCACCUGACCCGUGAUGAUCUUCCUCCCCGGUCUCGGCCCCAGAUAUGUGAGGUAAAAAGUCCUGAAAACCAGGACCAGACCAGGACCAUAACACGCCU
rnacentral:lncRNA from 1 species